UACAAGUGUGGUGGCACACACCUGUAAUAUAAGCUGCCAAAGAGGAAGAGAUUGGCAUAACUCGUGUUUAGGAGUUCUCAGUUGCAGUGGGCUGUGCCAAUCUGGUAUCUGAAUUAAAUUGAGCAUUAGAAGGAAGAUCCUAAGGGAGCAGGGGGCCGCCAGACUGUCUAAGAAAGGGUCAAACUGGCUCAGAUCAGAAAUGGGGUAGGUCAAAGUUCCUAUACUUAUUAGUAGUGGGAUUGGGCUUGUGAAUAGUCCCUGCUCUUCCAGCCUGAGAAAGGCUGGGAGAAUCAGUCUUU
rnacentral:SRP_RNA from 1 species